AAGGGUAUUUUUUUACCCUAAAGUAUUUAAAGUUAUGUACUUGAAAUUUGAAGAAUUUGGCGGUGAUUUAGUCUUGUCAGAGGAACCUGUUUUUGAAUCGAUACACCACGAAGAAUCUUACUUAAGCUUGUAAAGGCAGUAUGUAUACCAUCAUUAUUAGGUAAUUUUUAUAGAAUAAAUUACUGAACGAUAAUUAUUAACAAUAUUAAAUAUAUUAGAUCAAGGUGCAGCUAAUGCUUAAGUUAAAAUGGGUUACAAUAAAAAUUUAUUUAAUACGGAAUAUUAAUUCAAAUAAUUAAUUAGAAGGAGGAUUUGAUUGUAAAUUAAAUUUAAUAUGUUUAGUUAGAUAUAAGCUCUAAAUCAUGUACACACCGCCCGUCACCCAACAAAAG
rnacentral:rRNA from 1 species